AGAGAGGAGGGAAGGAGCAGUGGAGGCAGUGAGCUGGGAGCGGCUGAGGCCCUUCCCGCAGAAACUGGGGGCACCGGCGGCGUAGGAGGUGGAGAAGGCGGAGGACGCACGGGCUGGAGGCGGCGGCUGCGACUCGGCGGCGCUGGGAAUCGGAACCGCGGGUGAACUUGGGCGCCACGUUCCGGGCGACGGCCGGGAAACAGGGAGUGGACAUUCGGAAAGAGGGAGAAAACGCAGGGGAGCUCGUCCAUCCGUUGAGGCACAGUUCACUAUGAUCUUACUCGCAUUCAGCUCUGGAAGAAGGUUGGAUUUCGUGCAUCGUUCGGGUGUGUUUUUCUUGCAAACCUUGCUUUGGAUUUUAUGUGCUACAGUCUGCGGAACGGAGCAGUAUUUCAAUGUGGAGGUUUGGUUACAAAAAUACGGCUACCUUCCACCGACUGACCCCAGAAUGUCAGUGCUGCGCUCUGCAGAGACCAUGCAGUCAGCUCUAGCUGCCAUGCAGCAGUUCUAUGGCAUUAACAUGACAGGAAAAGUGGACAGAAACACAAUCGACUGGAUGAAGAAGCCUCGAUGCGGUGUACCAGACCAGACAAGAGGCAGCUCUAAAUUCAACAUUCGUCGAAAGCGCUACGCAUUAACUGGACAGAAAUGGCAACACAAACAUAUCACUUACAGUAUAAAGAACGUAACUCCAAAAGUUGGAGAUCCUGAGACCCGGAGAGCAAUUCGCCGUGCCUUUGAUGUGUGGCAGAAUGUAACUCCUCUAACGUUUGAAGAAGUUCCCUACAGUGAACUAGAAAACGGCAAACGUGAUGUGGAUAUAACCAUCAUUUUUGCUUCUGGUUUUCAUGGAGACAGUUCCCCAUUUGAUGGGGAGGGAGGAUUUUUGGCACAUGCUUAUUUCCCUGGACCCGGAAUUGGAGGCGACACCCAUUUUGAUUCUGAUGAGCCAUGGACACUGGGAAAUCCCAAUCAUGAUGGAAACGAUUUAUUUCUUGUAGCAGUCCAUGAGCUGGGACAUGCUCUAGGACUGGAACAUUCCAACGACCCCACCGCUAUCAUGGCCCCAUUUUAUCAGUACAUGGAAACAGACAACUUCAAGCUUCCUAAUGAUGAUUUACAGGGCAUCCAGAAGAUAUAUGGUCCACCUGACAAGAUCCCUCCACCUACAAGACCUCUACCGACAGUGCCCCCGCACCGAUCUGUUCCUCCAGCAGACCCAAGGAGACAUGACAGGCCCAAACCUCCUCGGCCUCCCACUGGCAGACCCUCCUAUCCAGGAGCCAAACCCAACAUCUGUGAUGGGAACUUCAACACUCUAGCUAUUCUUCGAAGGGAGAUGUUUGUUUUCAAGGACCAGUGGUUUUGGCGAGUGAGAAACAACAGGGUGAUGGAUGGAUACCCAAUGCAAAUUACUUACUUCUGGCGGGGCCUUCCUCCCAGUAUUGAUGCAGUUUAUGAAAACAGUGACGGAAAUUUCGUCUUCUUUAAAGCUUCCUGGAUGACAGUCUUCUGCUAGCUGCCUUCAGAUGAAGAUGUAGAACUCUCAGCUCCUCCUGCACCAUGCCUGUCUGGACACUGCCAUGCUCUACACAGAUGAUAAUGGGCUGAACCUCCAAACCUGCAACAAAUACUGGGUGUUCAAAGACACAACUCUUCAACCUGGUUACCCUCAUGACUUGAUUACCCUUGGGAAUGGAAUCCCCCCUCAUGGUAUUGAUUCUGCCAUAUGGUGGGAAGAUGUUGGCAAAACCUAUUUCUUCAAAGGUGACAGGUAUUGGAGAUAUAGUGAAGAAAUGAAAACCAUGGACCCUGGUUACCCCAAGCCCAUCACCAUCUGGAAGGGGAUCCCUGAAUCACCUCAGGGAGCUUUCGUCCACAAAGAAAAUGGCUUUACCUAUUUCUACAAAGGAAAGGAGUAUUGGAAAUUCAACAAUCAGAUACUCAAAGUAGAACCUGGUUAUCCAAGAUCCAUCCUCAAGGACUUUAUGGGCUGUGAUGGACCAACAGACCGAGAUAAAGAAGGACUCAGCCCACCAGAUGAUGUAGACAUUGUCAUCAAACUGGACAACACAGCCAGCACUGUGAAAGCCAUAGCUAUUGUCAUUCCCUGCAUCUUGGCCUUAUGCCUCCUUGUAUUGGUUUACACUGUGUUCCAGUUCAAGAGGAAAGGAACACCCCGCCACAUACUGUACUGUAAACGCUCUAUGCAAGAGUGGGUGUGAUGUAGGGAUUUCUUUUUUCUUUCUUUUCUGGGAGUUUGUGGUAACUUGAGAUUCAAGACAAGAGCUGUUAUGCUGUUUCCUAGCUAGGAGCAGGCUUGUGGCAGCCUGAUGGAGGCUGACCUUCCAAACCUAGAUGGUUGCUGGUCCUGCACAUGAGUGGAAAUAUAAUCAUGGAGAAGCUUCCGUGAUGCACAGUAUCUGCUGUUCUCCAGUCCUCUGUCUUUCUUUGUCAUUCAGUUCUAGGCCUUUCCUCUGCACGCUCAAUGCCCAGUAAAAUUUCAGGAUUAACUGAAGAAGAGGAAAUAUAGAAGAAAAGUUUCUUCUUAAUUUUUUAAAAAAUACAUUUCCUUCUGAAAUCUGAGCCCAUUUCUGGGAAAGAGAAAGAAAGAGAGAGAAAGAGAGAGAGAGAGAGAAAGAAAAACAAAAAGAGCAAAUCAAAAAACCCAUAGGUUUUUGCUUUAAGGCAAAAGAAGAAAGAGUUUAAAAAACAACAAAAUCCACUAUUGAACUUUCAGGAAAGUGUGAAGAUCCAAAACAGCUUUGUCUCCAAAGAAGAUAGCUCUGUGACCACUAUGGAUAGUCUCCUGCACAUCGUUUUGUCAGGUGGGAGAUCUGGAACACAUGCAGGAUGCUAGACUGUUGGGACAGUCAUUUUCCAACAAACAAGGGGCCAAAAUAUCUGCAAUAUAGUAACAGCCUUAAUAAUACAUGCAUUUUUCGUUUUCUACAGCUGUUCUCAACUAUGUCCACAAUGUAUCAUCACCUCCAUACUCAUAGCUGUGUUCAAACAGGACCUUUCGGUUGUUUUGAAAUAUUUCUGAACCCCCUCCUGCCUCCUGACCCAGAAUCAUUGUGAUGUUCUUCCCAGUUGUGUUAGGCCUUUGUCCCAGGCCGUCCAUUGGUCUGUCAGCAAUACUCCGCGCAAAGCAGAGCAAGAAGUAUUGUGUCUCUGAAGGAAAGAAGGUGAUGGUUAUUUUAUAAGGAUCUGUUACUCUUUAAUACAUCAGUGGAACCCUUUGAGAACUAUCGGACCAGCUUACAGAGUCAGGAUGAUCAGUCUUGCAAUCUGGUCAUUUGUAGAACUGGCCAAAAGGGAAAGCCAUCACAGGUUUCGAGAAGUUCAGAUUUGUAAAGCAUACCUUACAAUCCCAUGUAACUCUUUAAUGACUGACAGUACUGCAUAAAUGCUUUUAUAACAACGAUGAUGUGACUUGCCAAAACUUUUCUGGCAAAUAAAAAAGAUAUUUUGUUAACAGUA